rnacentral:lncRNA from 1 species
GGAAAACUAGCUACGCUAAGCUGUAUUAAACUAGGAUAUUUUCAUUGAUAACAAGCCUUAGCAACUAUUACAGUAGAUAUAGGUGAUGAAAUCAGAAAAAGGAUAAGAGUGCUGAGCAAGGAAUAGUACGAGCUCCUCUGCCCAGCUGUCCUGCCAAUAACUAUAUUGGCAGAGGAUGGAAUCUGCUCGACAGCUAAAUAUCCAGUGACUUAAUUGUAAUACUAAAAACUUGUAAAGUAAAAACACUAGAACUUAAGUUCUAAUGAAAGAACUAGACUUCUCCUUCUUCAAAAACUAACUCCAACGGCUAAGUGCAACUUCGCAAGCAAAGGUUACCACUCCUCUGUUGUAAUACGCAUCAUUUCGCCUCCUCCGCGAACGAAAAAAUGCAUAAAAAUAUAUCUUAGCUAAGGUUUAAAAUAAGAGAAACCAUAUGCUAGGUUAAGAUAAAAAAAAAAAAAGAAGAAGAGAGAAAAUAGAAUUAAAGAAUGGUAAAAGAGAGAGAAAUCUGUUUUUCCUUGCUACUGCGCCCGGAGUACCACUGAAUGUCGCUGGUUCCUUCUGAGUUCUGCUACACACAAUAAAUUAAAAAUCCAUAUCAUGUAACUUAAUUAGGUUAGGUUAAAAAAACGAAGAAGAAAGAUAAUGGAAUUAAAAUGGAGAAGAGAGAGAGAUUGACCGUCUACCGCCGUUGUUAGCAUCGUCCCGCCCACUACUGAUGCCGUCCUCGAAGAACCGUUGCUGGAGAGGAAAGGAGAGGAGAGGAAAGAAAAAACAAAGAAAGAGAAGAGAGAGUUAAGAGAAAAAUACUAAAAAUAAGGUCAGGGGAGAUUUAAAAGGCUUAUCGACCGAGGUAAGAGAAAAAACCCUAAAAUAAGGCCAGGGACGAUUUUAAAAGGCUUUUCGACCGACUCUAUCGGCUAAAGAGCGUGCUGCAGACUACAUUACAGACUACAAUGGAUCCUUUUUGAAACCUUGUUAAAGGAAGUUUCCGAUUGAUCCAGUCGGACUACUAGUUAAAGAAAAAAUUUAACUUUUGGAAAACCGACAUUUUCGAUCGAAAAAUAGUUU